ACACGUGCUACAAUGGGAAGGACAAAGAGCCGCGAAGCCGCGAGGUGUAGCUAAUCUCAGAAACCUUUUCGUAGUCCGGAUUGGAGUCUGCAACUCGACUCCAUGAAGUCGGAAUCGCUAGUAAUCGUAGAUCAGAAUGCUACGGUGAAUACGUUCCCGGGUCUUGUACACACCGCCCGUCAUACCAUGGGAGUGGGUUGCACCAGNAAGUGGCUAGUCUAACUUAGUGAGGACGGUCACCACGGUGUGAUUCAUGACUGGGGUAAAGUCGUAACAAGGUAACC
rnacentral:rRNA from 1 species